UCCGGUUGAUCCUGCCGGACCCUACUGCUAUCGGGGUGGGACUAAGACAUGCGAGUCGAGCGUCUCUAGCUAUGUUGAGACGCGGCAGACGGCUCAGUAACACGUGGCUAACCUACCCUCAGGACAGGGACAAACCCGGGAAACUGGGGCUAAUACCAGAUAGGCGAGGAUGCCUGGAAUGGUUUUUCGCUCAAAGGACCUUGGAAACAUGCUUUCAAGUCGCCUGAGGAUGGGCCCGCGUCCGAUCAGGUUGUUGGUGAGGUAACGGCUCACCAAGCCUAUAACCGGUACGGGCCGUGAGAGCGGUAGCCCGGAGAUGGGUACUGAGACAAGGACCCAGGCCCUACGGGGCGCAGCAGUCGCGAAAACUCCGCAAUGCACGAAAGUGUGACGGGGCUACCCCGAGUGCUCUCCGCUGGAGGAAAGCUUUUUCUCUGGUUUAACAAGCCAGGGGAAUAAGGAGAGGGCAAGACUGGUGUCAGCCGCCGCGGUAAUACCAGCUCUCCGAGUGGUAGGGAUGAUUAUUGGGCCUAAAGCGUCCGUAGCCGGCUUAGCAAGUCUCCUGUUAAAUUCAGCGACCUAAUCGUUGAGCCGCGGGAGAUACUACUAGGCUAGGAGGCGGGAGAGGUCAACGGUACUUCCGGGGUAGGGGUGAAAUCCUAUAAUCCCGGGAGGACCACCAGUGGCGAAGGCUGUUGACUAGAACGCGCUCGACGGUGAGGGACGAAAGCUGGGGGAGCGAACCGGAUUAGAUACCCGGGUAGUCCCAGCUGUAAACGAUGCGAGCUAGGUGUUGGGGUGGCUACGUGCCACUUCAGUGCCGCAGGGAAGCCAUUAAGCUCGCCGCCUGGGGAGUACGGCCGCAAGGCUGAAACUUAAAGGAAUUGGCGGGGGAGCAC
rnacentral:rRNA from 1 species